AUUAGAUUCCCUGGUAGUCCACGCCGUAAACGAUGUCUACUUGGAGGUUGUGCCCUUGAGGCGUGGCUUCCGGAGCUAACGCGUUAAGUAGACCGCCUGGGGAGUACGGCCGCAAGGUUAAAACUCAAAUGAAUUGACGGGGGCCCGCACAAGCGGUGGAGCAUGUGGUUUAAUUCGAUGCAACGCGAAGAACCUUACCUGGUCUUGACAUCCACGGAAGUUUUCAGAGAUGAGAAUGUGCCUUCGGGAACCGUGAGACAGGUGCUGCAUGGCUGUCGUCAGCUCGUGUUGUGAAAUGUUGGGUUAAGUCCCGCAACGAGCGCAACCCUUAUCCUUUGUUGCCAGCGAUUAGGUCGGGAACUCAAAGGAGACUGCCAGUGAUAAACUGGAGGAAGGUGGGGAUGGCGACAAGUCAUCAUGGCCCUUAAGACCAGGGCUACGCA
rnacentral:rRNA from 1 species